CUUUGGGAUAACCCUCGGAAACGGGGGCUAAUACCGGAUAUGACAUGCUGCCGCAUGGUGGUGUGUGGAAAGUUUUUUCGGCCUGGGAUGGGCUCGCGGCCUAUCAGCUUGUUGGUGGGGUGAUGGCCUACCAAGGCGACGACGGGUAGCCGGCCUGAGAGGGCGACCGGCCACACUGGGACUGAGACACGGCCCAGACUCCUACGGGAGGCAGCAGUGGGGAAUAUUGCACAAUGGGCGGAAGCCUGAUGCAGCGACGCCGUGUGGGGGAUGACGGCCUUCGGGUUGUAAACCUCUUUCAGCAGGGACGAAGCGCAAGUGACGGUACCUGCAGAAGAAGCGCCGGCCAACUACGUGCCAGCAGCCGCGGUAAGACGUAGGGCGCGAGCGUUGUCCGGAUUUAUUGGGCGUAAAGAGCUCGUAGGCGGCUUGUCACGUCGACUGUGAAAACCCACAGCUCAACUGUGGGCUUGCAGCCGAUACGGGCAGGCUAGAGUUCGGUAGGGGAGACUGGAAUUCCUGGUGUAGCGGUGAAAUGCGCAGAUAUCAGGAGGAACACCGGUGGCGAGGGCGGGUCUCUGGGCCGAUACUGACGCUGAGGAGCGAAAGCGUGGGGAGCGAACAGGAUUAGAUACCCUGGUAGUCCACGCUGUAAACGUUGGGCGC
rnacentral:rRNA from 1 species